CGGAGGGUGCAAGCGUUAUCCGGAUUUAUUGGGUUUAAAGGGUCCGUAGGUGGGCUGAUAAGUCAGCGGUGAAAUCCUGCAGCUUAACUGUAGAACUGCCGUUGAUACUGUUAGUCUUGAGUGUAUUUGAAGUGGCUGGAAUAAGUAGUGUAGCGGUGAAAUGCAUAGAUAUUACUUAGAACACCAAUUGCGAAGGCAGGUCACUAAGAUACAACUGACGCUGAGGACGAAAGCGUGGGAGCGAACAGGAUU
rnacentral:rRNA from 1 species